rnacentral:rRNA from 1 species
AGUAAUACGUAAGCAACCUGCCUGCAAGGAACUGGGAGUAACAACCUGGAAACGGGACGGCUAAUACCGGAUAGGUAACAAAGGGGCAUCCCUAUGUUAUUAAAGGUUAGAAACACAAGCAGAUGGGCUUACGGUGCGUUAGCUAGUUGGUGAGGUAACGGCCCACCAAGGCGAUGAUGCAUAGCCGGCCUGAGAGGGUGAACGGCCACAUUGGGACUGAGACACGGCCCAGACUCCUACGGGAGGCAGCAGUAGGGAAUUUUCGGCAAUGGACGAAAGUCUGACCGAGCAACGCCGCGUGAGUGAAGAAGGUUUUCGGAUUGUAAAGCUCUGUUGUAAGGGAAGAACAGCACGGAAAGAAUCCGUGAAUGACGGUACCUUACCAGAAAGCCACGGCUAACUACGUGCCAGCCGCAGC